AUUGAACGCUGGCGGCAGGCCUAACACAUGCAAGUCGAACGGUAACAGGAAGAAGCUUGCUUCUUUGCUGACGAGUAGCGGACGGGUGAGUAAUGUCUGGGAAACUGCCUGAUGGAGGGGGAUAACUACUGGAAACGGUAGCUAAUACCGCAUAACGUCGCAAGACCAAAGAGGGGGACCUUCGGGCCUCUUGCCAUCGGAUGUGCCCAGAUGGGAUUCGAUAGUAGGUGGGGUAACGGCUCACCUAGGUGACGAUCCCUAGCUGGUCUGAGAGGAUGACCAGCCACACUGGAGCGGGAACACGGUCCAGACUCCUACGGGAGGCAGCAGUGGGGAAUAUUGCACAAUGGUCGCAAACCUGAUGCAGCCAUGCCGCGUGUAUGAAGAAGGCCUUCGGGUUGUAAAGUACUUUCAGCGGGGAGGAAGGGAGUAAAGUUAAUACCUUUACUCAUUGACGUUACCCGCAGAAGAAGCACCGGCUAACUCCGUG
rnacentral:rRNA from 1 species